UGGUGCUUUCAAAUUAUCAUUGAAACUUGCUAGAUAGAGAUUUGUAUUUUAUAAGUCUAUGAUGGUAGGUAUAACAGUAACAAUAAAAUGGCACGAAGGACUUAAACAAAUUGAAUAACAGUGGCCUCGAUGAAGUCAGAAUAAUGACUGCAAGGCCUAUAGGAACUCUAAACUCUAUAAUGAACACAUAGCAUCUAGAAAAUCCCUCAAGUUCUGAGUGAAAACUAAUUUAAAAAUUCGAGUAUUAAGUCAAUUGUACGUACUACCUUCAUAUAAAGAUGCUUGGCAGUAUGUUAAUUUCUUUAAAGAGUCUGUAGUAGAUACAAACUAAACAUCUUAGAGCAAACUAUAUGAAUAAGUAAAUCAAGAAAUACAAUUUUAACUAAAAUUAUUGCUUCUAUCUAAAAAAAGAAACUGAACAGACCCUUUAAUUAAUAUAUUAUGUGGCUAUUCUCCCAAUAAUAAAUGAUUUUUAACCAUCAAAUGAACUGACAAAUGAAAUCCUGAGAAAAAUUACGGAAUUAUUAAAAUGCCAAAUAACGUCUUCUGGGAACAAACAUGAUAAUGUUCUCUUUUUCCCUCCCGCGUGAAAGAAGAAUAAGCAGGUGCAAGAAUUAAAACCCAGAGAUACAAAUGCAGAAUGAAAGAGGAGAAUGGAAAAGAAACAAACACAGCAGUUGAUAAAUUCCAGAGCAGAAUCCUUUGCAACUUGGCUGGCUGUCAUGCUCUUCAUCCCAAUGAUCAUGGACAAACCUAAAGGAUAAAGUCAUGAAAGUAACACUGCCAAGACUUACUGCAGCUGAUGGAAGGUGUGAAUACUUCCUAGUGAGACUUCAAUCACUUGCUUUCUUGACACUUUCAAGUCUUCAAAGAUUCCUGCCAGUUGACUCUGCAUGGAGAACAUUCUCCAACCAAGAGAAAGACGAAACACGGGGUGUUGAGCACCAGCGGUGCGUGUAAGAGUCACCAUUCAGAAGGCUCUUCCAUCUGACACUGGUCUCCUUUGCAAAGGAAUUCAUAUUUGUGAAGCAAAGAAAUAAGCCCAGCUGUGAAAAGAGCAUCUCUCUCAGUGGUUGGAAUACCAGAGGCCACUGCUGCAAUUCUUCUGGAAAGAAAUCAAAAUCCCAACAGGAGUGGAAAAUCACUGGUAUCAAGAGCCUUUGGAAGUUGAUUUUUUAUUUGUGCUUAUUCUUGAGUGAUAUUUUUUCCCACUGCCAGCCCAUUUCUUGCUGAGUGUUCUCUAGCUCACCAAAGUCUUGUGUAUUAAAUGAUUACCUCUGUUGUAAACUAGAGAAGCAAGUGAAUCAAUCUGACAGUUAAGUAAUUAGUGAAACCAUUGCCUAUAUCCCUCACUCCAUUAUCCUAACUGUACCCUUUAAAUUGUACCCCAAGAGCCACUUAGAAACCUCUUUUUCUUCAAAGUCCAUUACUCCUUAUAUGUAAGUCUUACACCUCCCCAGGUUCUUAAUAAAUCAUAAGAAGAUCUGAUAUGUAUAGAAUCGGGUUUCAAAAAAGUAACUUAAAAAAAAAAAACUUUUAGAGUUAUGCAAAAUGAAGCUGGCUUACCCCUGAAAGGUGCAAGGUAAGUUCCUGCCAACACAUUAAUUGUUAUAGUAAUUUAAGUAAUGGCAUGAUGUUAUUGUCCACUCAGUGUCUAUUUCCUGGACUAUUCUGUUCCAUAAAAUGAAUAGAAUGAAAGUAAAUAUGCUUUUACAACAUUUUCUCCAAAUCAUGUCAUGAUCACAAUGGAUAUAGAAACAGUUGGGACUAACAUAUGUUAUUCUCUGAAAUUAAGAUCCCUGCAUGCCUUUAACAAGAUGAGUCAUAGUCCUUUCACCAAAGUCAGAAAAUGUAUCCUGGUUACUUUUCUCUCAUUUCAUUUAUGUUAUUAAGAAAAAGCUAAGCAAAUCACUAACUUGCCACUUCAAGAUGCUCAGACAACGAAAAACUAAAUAAAAAACAAAACAAAACAAAACAUGGUGUUUAUGACGCCAAUACAUUAAAGUCAAAGGUUUAGGUUUUCCUUGGCUAGUUUAUCAUCUUUCCUUCUAACAAAUUAGAUGUUGCAAGAGAGAGAGGAGGAGUGGGGGAGAGAGGCCUUGUCCUUAGAAAAGAUAAGUAAGUGUUAAUGCUCGUUGUGCCAGAUCAAAGUGAACAGACAAAUGACAAUCAGAACGCAUAAGCUAUAGUUGAAUCCCAACACCUGGAGAGUCUUAGAUGCUGCCAAAUUAAAAUGCAGUGCCUGCAUAGCAAACGAAACUGUAAAACAAAAGACAAUCUACAGAAUGGGAGAAAAUAUUUGUAAACAAUGUGACCGACAAGGGCUUAAUCUCCAAAAUAUACAAACAGCUCAUACAACUCAAUAUCAAAAAACCAGGGACUUCCCUCGUGGCACAGUGGUUAAGAAUUCACCUGUCAAUGCAGGGGACACAGGUUCAAGCCCUGGUCCGGGAAGAUCCCACUGGCCACGAGCAAAUAAGCCCAUGCACCACAGCUACUGAGCCUGUGCUCUAGAGCCCACGAGCCACAACUACUGAGCCCACGUGCCUAGAGCCCAUGCUCCGCAACAAGAGAAGUCACCACAAUGAGAAGCCCGCGCACUGCAAUGAAUAGUAGCCCCCACUUGCUGCAACUAGAGAAAGCCCACGCACAGCAGCAAAGACCCAAUGCAGCCAAAAGAAAAAAAAAAACAACUCAAUUGAAAAAUGGGCAGAACACCUAAAUAGACAUUUCUCCAAAGAAAACAUACAGAUGACCAAGAGUCACAUGCAAAGAUGCUCAACAUCACUAAUUAUUAGAGAAAUGCAAAUUAAAACUACCAUGAGGUAUCACCUCACACCAGUCAGAAUGGCCAAAAAGUCUACAAAUGACAAAUGCUGGAGAGGGUGUGAAGAAAAAGGAACGCUCCUACACUGUUGGUGGGAAUGUAAAUUGGUACAACCACUACAGACAAGAGUAUGCAGGUUCUUAAAAAAACUAGAGUUGCCAUAUGAUCCAGCACUCCCAUUCCUGGGCAUAUAUCCAGAUAGAACUACAUUCAAAAAGAUACAUGCACCCAUAUGUUCACAGCAGCACUAUUUGCAAUAGCCAAGACAUGGGAACAGCCUAAAUGUCCAUCGACAGAGGAAUGGAUAAAGAAGAUGUGGUAUAUAUAUAUACAAUGGAAUAUUACUCAGCCAUAAAAAAGAAUGAAAUAAUGCCAUUUGCAGCAACAUGGAUGCAACUAGAGAUCAUCAUACUAAGUGAAGUCUGACAGAGAAAGAGAAAUACUAUAUGAUAUCACUUAUAUGUGGAAUCUAAAAUAUGGCACAAAUGAACCUAUCUACAAAACAGAAACAGACUCACAGACAUAGACAUCAGACUUGUGGUUGCCAAUGGGGAGGUGGGGAGGGAGAGGGAUGGACUGGGAGUUUGAGUUUAGUAGAUAUAAACUGUUACAUUUAGAAUGGAUAAUCAACCAGGUCCCUACUGUAUAGUACAGGGAACUAUAUUCAAUAACCUGUGUUAAACCAUAAUGAAAAGAACAUGAAAAAGAAUGUAUAUACGUGUAUAACUGAGUGACUUUUGUACAGCAGAAAUUAGCACAACGUUGUAAAUCAGCUCUACUUCAAUAAAAAAAAUAAAUUAAGAUGUAGUGCCCUUCUCUGUUGUAUUCUUCUCUAAUAUAGCACAUACAUUGAAAGCCAUGUCGGUCCCUAGAAUUUAAAAGAAGUUCAAGCAGCUCGUUUUCCCCAAGAUCAUUUAUCACACAGUGUUUGAAAAAUUCAGAGAAGUGACAUAUUUUUACUUUAGAUCACUGGUGAUGCUGAUCCUACUAACACUUUUAAGAAUGAUUUUGAAAUACCACUUUGGGAUCAAGCCUUAAUAACUUAAUACACAAGGCUAUGGAGAGGGAAAUUCCUUUAAUAGCACA